rnacentral:rRNA from 1 species
GGAUUAGAUACCCUGGUAGUCCACGCCCUAAACGAUGAGAACUAGCCGUUGGGGGCAUUUAAGCCCUUAGUGGCGCAGCUAACGCGUUAAGUUCUCGGCCUGGGGAGUACGGCCGCAAGGUUAAAACUCAAAGGAAUUGACGGGGGCCCGCACAAGCGGUGGAGCAUGUGGUUUAAUUCGACGCAACGCGCAGAACCUUACCAGCCCUUGACAUCCCGAUCGCGAAUAGUGGAGACACUUUUCUUCAGUUAGGCUGGAUCGGUGACAGGUGCUGCAUGGCUGUCGUCAGCUCGUGUUG